rnacentral:rRNA from 1 species
GCCAGACUCCUACGGGAGGCAGCAGUGGGGGAUAUUGCACAAUGGGGGGAACCCUGAUGCAGCGACGCCGCGUGGGUGAAGGAGCGUUUCGGCGCGUAAAGCCCUAUCGGCAGGGAAGAAGGAGGACGGUACCUGACUAAGAAGCCCCGGCUAACUACGUGCCAGCAGCCGCGGUAAUACGUAGGGGGCAAGCGUUAUCCGGAUUUACUGGGUGUAAAGGGGGCGCAGACGGCAGCGCAAGCCAGGAGUGAAAGCCCGGGGCCCAACCCCGGGACUGCUCUUGGAACUGCGCGGCUGGAGUGCAGGAGGGGCAGGCGGAAUUCCUGGUGUAGCGGUGAAAUGCGUAGAUAUCAGGAGGAACACCGGUGGCGAAGGCGGCCUGCUGGACUGCGACCGACGUUGAGGCCCGAAAGCGUGGGGAGCAAACAGGAUUAGAUACCCCAGUAC